rnacentral:rRNA from 1 species
UACGUAGGGUGCAAGCGUUGUCCGGAAUUAUUGGGCGUAAAGCGCGCGUAGGCGGCCGCGCAAGUCGGAUGUGAAAACCCGGGGCUCAACCCCGGGCGUGCAUUCGAUACUGCGUGGCUCGAGACAGGUAGGGGAGAUCGGAAUUCCUGGUGUAGCGGUGAAAUGCGCAGAUAUCAGGAGGAACACCGGUGGCGAAGGCGGAUCUCUGGGCCUGUUCUGACGCUGAGGCGCGAAAGCUAGGGGGAGCGAACAGG